rnacentral:rRNA from 1 species
UAGGGAAUUUUGCGCAAUGGACGAAAGUCUGACGCAGCAACGCCGCGUGAGGGAUGACGGCCUUCGGGUUGUAAACCUCUGUUGGAUGGGAAAAAAAGCAGCAAUGUUUGAUGGUACCAUUCGAGUAAGCACCGGCUAACUACGUGCCAGCAGCCGCGGUAAUACGUAGGGUGCAAGCGUUGUUCGGAAUCACUGGGCGUAAAGGGAGUGUAGGCGGGAUCGUAAGUUAGAAGUUUAAUGCAUGGGCUCAACCCAUGACCUGCUUUUAAUACUGCGGUUCUUGAGUAUGGGAGAGGGCGAUGGAAUUCCAGGUGUAGCGGUGGAAUGCGUAGAUAUCUGGAAGAACACCAGUAGCGAAGGCGGUCGCCUGGCCCAAUACUGACGCUGAUACUCGAAAGCUAGGGGAGCAAACAGG